rnacentral:rRNA from 1 species
UUAAGCGACUAAGCGUACACGGUGGAUGCCCUGGCAGUCAGAGGCGAUGAAGGACGUGCUAAUCUGCGAAAAGCGUCGGUAAGGUGAUAUGAACCGUUAUAACCGGCGAUGUCCGAAUGGGGAAACCCAGUGUGAUUCGUCACACUAUCGUUAACUGAAUACAUAGGUUAACGAGGCGAACCGGGGGAACUGAAACAUCUAAGUACCCCGAGGAAAAGAAAUCAACCGAGAUUCCCCCAGUAGCGGCGAGCGAACGGGGAGCAGCCCAGAGUCUGAAUCAGCUUGUGUGUUAGUGGAACGGUCUGGAAAGUCCGACGGUACAGGGUGAUAGUCCCGUACACCAAAAUGCACAGGCUGUGAACUCGAAGAGUAGGGCGGGACACGUGGUAUCCUGUCUGAAUAUGGGGGGACCAUCCUCCAAGGCUAAAUACUCCUGACUGACCGAUAGUGAACCAGUACCGUGAGGGAAAGGCGAAAAGAACCCCGGCGAGGGGAGUGAAAAAGAACCUGAAACCGUGUACGUACAAGCAGUGGGAGCACCUUCGGGUGUGACUGCGUACCUUUUGUAUAAUGGGUCAGCGACUUAUAUUCUGUAGCAAGGUUAACCGUAUAGGGGAGCCGCAGGGAAACCGAGUCUUAACUGGGCGUUAAGUUGCAGGGUAUAGACCCGAAACCCGGUGAUCUAGCCAUGGGCAGGUUGAAGGUUGGGUAACACUAACUGGAGGACCGAACCGACUAAUGUUGAAAAAUUAGCGGAUGACUUGUGGCUGGGGGUGAAAGGCCAAUCAAACCGGGAGAUAGCUGGUUCUCCCCGAAAGCUAUUUAGGUAGCGCCUCGUGAACUCAUCUUCGGGGGUAGAGCACUGUUUCGGCUAGGGGGUCAUCCCGACUUACCAACCCGAUGCAAACUACGAAUACCGAAGAAUGUUAUCACGGGAGACACACGGCGGGUGCUAACGUCCGUCGUGAAGAGGGAAACAACCCAGACCGCCAGCUAAGGUCCCAAAGUCAUGGUUAAGUGGGAAACGAUGUGGGAAGGCACAGACAGCCAGGAUGUUGGCUUAGAAGCAGCCAUCAUUUAAAGAAAGCGUAAUAGCUCACUGGUCGAGUCGGCCUGCGCGGAAGAUGUAACGGGGCUAAACCAUGCACCGAAGCUGCGGCAGCGACACUAUGUGUUGUUGGGUAGGGGAGCGUUCUGUAAGCCUGCGAAGGUGUGCUGUGAGGCAUGCUGGAGGUAUCAGAAGUGCGAAUGCUGACAUAAGUAACGAUAAAGCGGGUGAAAAGCCCGCUCGCCGGAAGACCAAGGGUUCCUGUCCAACGUUAAUCGGGGCAGGGUGAGUCGACCCCUAAGGCGAGGCCGAAAGGCGUAGUCGAUGGGAAACAGGUUAAUAUUCCUGUACUUGGUGUUACUGCGAAGGGGGGACGGAGAAGGCUAUGUUAGCCGGGCGACGGUUGUCCCGGUUUAAGCAUGUAGGCUGGUUAUCCAGGCAAAUCCGGAUAAUCAAGGCUGAGGUGUGAUGACGAGGCACUACGGUGCUGAAGUAACAAAUGCCCUGCUUCCAGGAAAAGCCUCUAAGCAUCAGGUAACAUCAAAUCGUACCCCAAACCGACACAGGUGGUCAGGUAGAGAAUACCAAGGCGCUUGAGAGAACUCGGGUGAAGGAACUAGGCAAAAUGGUGCCGUAACUUCGGGAGAAGGCACGCUGGUGUGUAGGUGAAGCCCCUGCGGGUGGAGCUGAGACCAGUCGAAGAUACCAGCUGGCUGCAACUGUUUAUUAAAAACACAGCACUGUGCAAACACGAAAGUGGACGUAUACGGUGUGACGCCUGCCCGGUGCCGGAAGGUUAAUUGAUGGGGUUAUCCGUAAGGAGAAGCUCUUGAUCGAAGCCCCGGUAAACGGCGGCCGUAACUAUAACGGUCCUAAGGUAGCGAAAUUCCUUGUCGGGUAAGUUCCGACCUGCACGAAUGGCGUAAUGAUGGCCAGGCUGUCUCCACCCGAGACUCAGUGAAAUUGAACUCGCUGUGAAGAUGCAGUGUACCCGCGGCAAGACGGAAAGACCCCGUGAACCUUUACUAUAGCUUGACACUGAACAUUGAGCCUUGAUGUGUAGGAUAGGUGGGAGGCUUUGAAGCGUGGACGCCAGUCUGCGUGGAGCCAACCUUGAAAUACCACCCUUUAAUGUUUGAUGUUCUAACGUUGGCCCCUUAUCGGGGUUGCGGACAGUGUCUGGUGGGUAGUUUGACUGGGGCGGUCUCCUCCCAAAGCGUAACGGAGGAGCACGAAGGUUAGCUAAUCUUGGUCGGACAUCAGGAGGUUAGUGCAAUGGCAUAAGCUAGCUUGACUGCGAGCGUGACGGCGCGAGCAGGUGCGAAAGCAGGUCAUAGUGAUCCGGUGGUUCUGAAUGGAAGGGCCAUCGCUCAACGGAUAAAAGGUACUCCGGGGAUAACAGGCUGAUACCGCCCAAGAGUUCAUAUCGACGGCGGUGUUUGGCACCUCGAUGUCGGCUCAUCACAUCCUGGGGCUGAAGUAGGUCCCAAGGGUAUGGCUGUUCGCCAUUUAAAGUGGUACGCGAGCUGGGUUUAGAACGUCGUGAGACAGUUCGGUCCCUAUCUGCCGUGGGCGCUGGAGAAUUGAGGGGGGCUGCUCCUAGUACGAGAGGACCGGAGUGGACGCAUCACUGGUGUUCGGGUUGUCAUGCCAAUGGCACUGCCCGGUAGCUAAAUGCGGAAGAGAUAAGUGCUGAAAGCAUCUAAGCACGAAACUUGCCCCGAGAUGAGUUCUCCCUGAGACUUUAAGUCUCCUGAAGGAACGUUAAAGACGAUGACGUUGAUAGGCCGGGUGUGUAAGCGCAGCGAUGCGUUGAGCUAACCGGUACUAAUGAACCGUGAGGCUUAACCUU